ACUACACCACAAAUAUACAUUUCUAAACAAUAUAUGAUAAAAGGACUCUAUCAUGAAGAACAUAUCAGUAAUACUUGUAGCGAUGGUUGUGUUCCUUGCAAUCCUUGAAGCUAACGCAAGUAGACCAACUUUGGAAGUGCGUAAAUUGUUAGACUACAAGAAAACAGCCGUCCCAUCCCCAUCACAUGAUCGGGGCUCAGGUAAGAAUGACAUUCCUCACCUUGAUAUAAAGGAAGCGACAUUCACAACGGAUAAAAAGUGGAGUGGUGCAAGUGGCAUGACGGAGAGCAAUGGACAAGAAAAGGACUCAAGCACCGACACACAUCAUUACUUUCCUUGUGCUAAACAAUCUCAAUGUGGCAACGAAAUCCAUGCUUGAAAGAGAGCCAUCACUUCUCUGGUGUUGAUCGUCAAUUGUAAGUUAAUGAGUGUGAUUGUAGCGAGCUUAUAAAUAGCCCCAAUGUGACGGUCAAGCCUCUUUAGUUUCAUUGGCAUAAAGUUCCAUAUCUCUAAGUUGUGAGUUCGAAAAAUCUAUGAAAUGCAAUAGGUAAGUAUAUUUGUCAUAAUAAAAAGAAAGUUUGUGUAAUGAAGAGUGUUUUUGGGACUUUCUCUAUUGUAAUAUAUUAUAAAGUAAAUUAUAGAAAUGGUCAAAAAGAUCUCUCUCUC